rnacentral:rRNA from 1 species
UACGGAGGGGGCUAGCGUUGUUCGGAAUUACUGGGCGUAAAGCGCGCGUAGGCGGCUUUGUAAGUUAGAGGUGAAAGCCCGGAGCUCAACUCCGGAAUUGCCUUUAAGACUGCAUCGCUAGAAUCAUGGAGAGGUGAGUGGAAUUCCGAGUGUAGAGGUGAAAUUCGUAGAUAUUCGGAAGAACACCAGUGGCGAAGGCGACUCACUGGACAUGUAUUGACGCUGAGGUGCGAAGGCGUGGGGAGCAAACAGG